GACGAACGCUGGCGGCGUGCUUAACACAUGCAAGUCGAACGGUGAAGGGACUGGUUUUGCUGGUCCUGGAUGAGUGGCGAACGGGUGAGUAACACGUGAGUAACCUUCCCCCUUCUUCUGGAUAACCGCAUGAAAGUGUGGCUAAUACGGGAUAUUCUGGGUCUGUCGCAUGGUGGGCCUGGGAAAGAUUGCGCCUUUUUUGGUGUUUUUGGUGGGGGAUGGGCUCGCGGCCUAUCAGCUUGUUGGGGGGGUGAUGGCCUACCAAGGCGGUGACGGGUAGCCGGCCUGAGAGGGUGGACGGUCACACUGGGACUGAGACACGGCCCAGACUCCUACGGGAGGCAGCAGUGGGGAAUAUUGCACAAUGGGCGCAAGCCUGAUGCAGCGACGCCGCGUGAGGGAUGGAGGCCUUCGGGUUGUGAACUUCUUUCGCCAGUGAAGCAGGCCUGCCUCUUUUUGUGAGUGGGUUGACGGUAGCUGGAUAAGAAGCGCCGGCUAACUACGUG
rnacentral:rRNA from 1 species